CGGCCGCGCCUUCGGGCGGCUUCGGGGCGAAGUCCGAGAGUCUGAGUGACGGAACGACGCGGCGAGGCUCGUCGGCUUCCGUAUCGCAUCGUGGCGGCGCCGGGAGAUGACGUUCUGCUGAGAGGCCGUCGCGCCGCGUGACUGACGGCGCCGGCCGGUGUCCCGCGUUCCGCCUGGCGUGCGCCGAGGGGAGGUUGCGCUGGCCGGCUGAGGCCCAGCUUCUGGUGUCUUUCAGAGCGUCCGCCCAGCCGCCCCGCGGGCUCGCGUCGCGUGUUCAGGAACCCUGCGAGCCUGUCGCCGAGCGCAGACUGCCCAGGCCGCCGUGGUCCUGUCAGCCCAGCGAUUUGGGAAGCCGAGGCCGGAGGAUGGCAGGUUGGAGGCCAGCCUCAUCAGCUUAGCGAGGCCCUGUCUUGAAAUGAAAAUAGAAGGGCCUGGGGUGCAGCCCGGAGUGGCGCCCCUGGGCUGGGUCCCCAGCGCCUUGUAAACGGCAGGACUGUCUCGCUCCGUCUGCUCUGGGGAGUGGCGUGGCGCCCAGCCCGCGGCCGGCAGGGCCGCCCUGGGCCUUGGGAAGUGUUGGUCCCCGCCCCACGGUCUGCCCGAGCUACCUGAGGCCCGGGCUCGUGUUUUUUUUUUUCUUUUCUUUUAAGUAUUUUACUUUAUUUUGUGAGGUCAGGCAACGGGCGGCGACCAAAAGAGGCAGGUUUUAAAAAGGCCGCUGAAGGAGGCUUUAUGGAGCCCACUCCGGGCGGACCGCGGUCAGACCGUCAGAGUUGACAGGACAAGGGUCUGAGCAGAAACCGUAGGGCCUCCACAGGGCUGGGAUUUUAUGGGGCCUUCGGCAGGAAGGGAGGGCUUGGGACAGGAAAAGGGAUUUUUAGGGUCCCUUGUCCCACUGGGAACUGGCUGAACUCCAGGAUUGGCCACGAGACCCUGCUGAUUGACGUGUCAGCCAGGAGAUCCGCUGAUUGACAGGUCAGCCAGGAGAUCCCGCUGAUUGACAGGUCAGCCAGGAGAUCCGCUGAUUGACAGGUCAGCCAGGAGAUCCCGCUGAUCGAUAGGCGUUUCCGUGGGCGCCUGCUUGACGUUUCUUCCUUUGUUCCUGAGUCCCCGCUGCCCACCUGACAGAUUCUAUCCCCAUCUUGGUGGCCUCUCUGUCUUUGCUGCCAAGGCUGGCUUCAAACCUGUGGUGCUGCUGCCUCAGUCUCCUGAAUCGCUCCACUCACCUGCAUGGACCACUGUGCCCAGGUAAAUCUUCAUGUUUUGAGUUUUUUAAAAAAACGUUCUCUACUUUUAUGCCCCAAGGCAAGUGUCUCCUGACCUCACCCUAAUCCCUGCCUGCCUGCCUGCCUGCCUGCCUCUGGCUAUCUCUACCCUCCCCCACCCCGUUUCUUUGGGUUUUAUACUGGAGAUUGAAAACCAUGAGUGCUCUACUGCUGAGCUACAUCCUUAGUCUUUGUAUUUUUAUUUGGAGACAGCAACUCAGUACAUUGUCCAGGCUGAUCUCAAACUUGUGCUCCUCCUGCACCAGCCUUCCACGUAGCUGGGAAAUAGGUGUUGAGAGCCACAGCCAAGUCAGGAUGACGCCUGGCAUUUUGCCAGAGGAGUGGUUGGGAGGUAACACCAGGAAGCCAUUGGGAUGAUGGUAAUUAAGUUAAGCUGUGUAUAAUUAUUAAGAUAAUGACUGAUUGCUGUAACUGGAUGAUGCUAAAUUGAAACAAGCUGUGUAUUCAGUUGUGUAUAUAAACCUCUGCUGUCCGGCAAUAAGGCGGCUCCUGCUACCUCGGGUGCCUGCAACUGUUGAGUUCUCGCAGAGUUUCCGUGGAGUUCUGGAGAGUUCCCGUUGGGUUUGGGCAAUAAAGUAGUUCCUGUUUGAACCUACAAGUGGCUCAUGACCUACCGGUUUUGUGCCCAGCCAGACUGUGGCAUUUGGUGGCCCGUACGGGGAACUGCUCGCCCCUGAGGGCAGGACAAGAGGAUGGGUGACCAUUUUAAGAGACAGUGUAUUCUUCUUUUGAUUUGUUACGUUUCUGUUUCAAGCUGCCUGCCCUUAGAAAUAAAUAGGAUGCUAGAAAAGUUGUUCAGCCUUGAGGAAGAGAUAGAGAUAGACCACAGUUGCAUAUGUCAAGAAAAUAGAAAAACUGAUACAACGAAUUUUUGUUCCGUUUUGUUUUGGUUUUGUUUUGUGUUAUCUUGUUGGGUUGCGUUAUCUUUGUAGCAGAAAUAUGGCAUCAGAAAUUAGUAAAAAACAAACCGAAAGAGUUUUAAGUAAAUUGCUAGAGGAAAGAGGAACCCCAGUAAAACCAAGAACAGUUAGGGCAUACGUUGAUACGACACAAAAAUUUAGCCCAUGGUUUCUUAAGGAGGGGUUGUUAAGUAUAUCACAAUGGAACCAUCAUGGUGAAGAUUUAAAAAAGAUAGAAAAGGAAAGCCCAGGAACUCUGCCAGUUGGCACAUUACCAUUAUGGACGUUGGUACGAUCUUGUUUGCUUAGUCUAGGAGAAGACAUCUUAAAAGAGGAAGUCUCCUGAGUUACUCAGGGGAAGAAAGUUUAAAGAAGGAAGGGCUAUAAGGGAAGAAGUUACAACGGGAGAUUGCUACUAACACCUUUCUAUCACCGGAGGGCGUGGGUGUCCAACCAAUAGCUCCACCUAUGUAUACGGAGACAACAUAUGCUGAGUGGCCCUCAACCCCCGUAGUUGAUAGAUGGGAUCCUGAGACAGGACCUCAAAGAUUAGCAUGCCCUGCAUUUGAGGAGGCAGGAGGGCAGCGAAUUCACCAUGCUUUAGAUUUCAAAACAGUGAAACAGCUGAAAGAGGCUGUAACAACCUAUGGUCCUCAAGCAUCCUUCACUGUAAGUAUGGUCGAAUCCAUUACCAACUUGAACAUGACGCCAGCAGAUUGGGCUAGUAUGUGCAAAGCUGUGCUAAAUGGAGGACAAUAUCUGUUAUGGAAGAUUGCCAAUCAGGAAUUUUGCACGGAGAUGGCCAGGUGAAAUGCAGCAGCCGGUUAUCCUCAGAGAAAUCUAGAUAUGUUGUUAGGAAAGGGACCUUAUGAGGGUCAGCUGCACAAAUUAGAUAUGAUCCUGCCAUAUACUCACAAAUCGCUUCAGCUGCGGUUAGGGCAUGGAAAACAUUACAGGGGCAUGGAGAUUUACAAGGUCAAUUAUCUAAGGUAAUACAAGGAGCUAACGAACCUUACGCUGAAUUUGUAGAUAGGCUUAUACAAACAGCUACCAGAAUCUUUGGGGAUGUAGAACAAGCGAUGCCAUUAAUAAAACAACUAGCCUACGAACAAGCAAACAGGUGGUGCAGGGAGGCCAUUAGACCAUGGAAACAUGGAGAUUUAAACACAUAUAUUAAAUUAUGCAGAGACAUUAAUGAACAAGGGCAAGUCUUGGCAGCUGCAGUACAACAGGCUUAGGUGCCAGGCCAAAAACAUGCUACAAUUGUGAACAAACAGGACAUUUUAAAAGGAGUUGCCCCAUAGGAGGAGGGUUUAACAAAACUAGGUAUCAAAGGGGUAGAAUAUUGGGUAUUUGCCCACAGUGCCAUAGAGGGAGACAUUGGGCUAAUGAAUGCCGUUCUCAAACCACUAUAGAGGAUAUUCCGUUAUCAAAAAACGGACAAGGACCAGGUGUUUACCCACGAUAUCGUGGAGAAAAACACUGGGCUCUAUUGCCAAAAAACGGACAGGGGAGCCCAAUGCUCCGGGGCCCACGACUACAAAUAUACGGGGCAUUGGAGGAACCCAGCAACACCAUCAGGGUAGUGCCCAGGACACAUUGUCCAUUAGAUCCCUCAUUAGACAAACCAGAGGGAGCGCAGGGUUGGACAUCUGCGCCUCUGCCAGAGCAGUACUAACUCCAGAGAUGGAGUUCAAAUCAUUCCCACAGGGGUAAAAGGACCUCUUCCCCAAGGAUUAGUAGGCUUAUUAUCAGGAUUCAGUUCUUCUACUCUAAAAGGACUUAUGAUAAGUCCUGGGGUAAUUGAUCCCGAUUAUGAAAGUGAAAAAAAAAUUAUAGCCAGUUCGCCAAGGGGUAUAUCAGUAAUUUCACUAGGAGAUAGAAUAGCACAGUUAUUAAUAAUACCCAGCCUACAUGAUAAAUUUUCCAGUUGUACUAUAGAAAGAGGUUCCAGGGGAUUAGGCUCCACAGGUGUAGAUUGGGCUAUGCUUUCUUUAAAUUUAGAUUCUCACCCCAUGCUAAAACUAAAUAUUCAAGGACAUGAAUUUAAUGGGCUACUGGAUACAGGUGCAGACCUUAGCAUCAUCUCUCAUCAAGAAUGGCCAAAACAUUGGCCGUUACAACAAGCCACUCAAACGCUUCGAGGCCUAGGAGUGGCAACUAAUCCCCCAUAGAAGUGUGAUGGUAUUAGAUUGGAAGGAUCCUGAAGGAUGUGAAGGAACUAUACAGCCAUAUGUUUUGGAUCAUCUUCCUAUAAAUUUAUGGGGACGAGAUAUCCUAGAUCAUUUAGGACUAACAUUAACAAAUAACAUCAAGUGCGCCCACUAUUAUGGCUAGACAAGGUUUUAGGAAAGGAAAAAGAUUAGGAGAAAAAGGACAAAGUAUAGUGGCACCAUUGCAAAUAGAUCAAGAAAUAGACAUGGAUUGGGUUUUCAGGAGGGGUCAUUGAGACAAUAAAAAUUACUUGGAAAUCAGAAAGACCAGUAUGGGUUCCUCAGUGGCCCCUGACUAAAGAAAAGAUACAAGCAACCCAUGACCUGGUCAAACAACAAUUAGCGGAGGGACAUAUACAACCUUCUUAUCUCCCUAUAGUACUCCCAUUUUUGUCAUCAAAAAGAAAUCUGGUAAAUGGAGAUUAUUGCAAGAUUUAAGAGCCAUUAAUAAUGAGAUGGUUAUUAUGGAACCUGCUCAAUCGGGGAUUCUUCAAUUGUUUGCUUUGCCGAAAACCUGGUAUGUUUUAGUUAUAGGUAUUAAAUAUCGUUUUUUUUUUUUUUUUUCAAUUCCAAUUCAUCCUGAGGAUAAUCCACGUUUUGCAUUUACUGUCCCUGCAUUGAAUCAUGAAGGUCCUGAUCAGAUAUGAAUGGAAAGUACUCCCUCAAGGGAUGGCUAACAGCCCAACUAUGUCAAAUUUAUGUUAACAAAGCAAUCCAGCCACUUAGAAAUCAAAAUCCUGAACUACAAAUAUUUCACUAUAUGGACGAUGUAUUAUUAGCACACAAAGAUAAAAACACAUUGCUAAAAUGUUUUGCCACACUUACAAACUUAUUAAAAAUUAUAAUCUAUAGAUAGCAAUAGAUAAAGUACAAUUAAAUUUUCCAAUUAAUUAUUUAGGAGUUCUAUUAUCCUCAACCAUGGUCCGUCCACCAAAAAUUCAAAUACGAGUAGAUCAACUCAAAUCAUUUAACGACUUUCAAAAGUUAUUAGGAGACAUAAAUUGGAUAAGGCCUUAUCUAGGCAUACCAACAGGAGAGUUGGGACCUUUAUUUGAUAUCCUAAAAGGUCCAUCAGAUCCAGAUUCACCCUGCAUGUUAACGCCUGAAGCAAGAAAGACAUUAAAAAUCAUUGAAACAUAUAUGGAAAAUAUGCAUUUGGAUGGAAUUGAUAUAAGUUUGCCUUUAUUAUUUAUUGUACUACCAACAAAAAAUAUUCCUACAGGAGUGUUUUGGCAAGAAGGUCCAUUAUUAUGGAUACAUUUAUCUUAUUCUCCUAACACUAUUCUUACUAGGUAUCCUUAGGCUGUAGGACAAUUAAUACUCAAAGGAAUAAAAGCAGCAAAGGGAGUGUUUGGAGUUUCUCCCAAUAAAAUUAUUACUCCAUAUAUUAUGGAUCAAAUUGAUGAGUUAGCUAAUGAGUUAAAUACUUGGGCAAUAAUCAUGUGCAAAUCUAAUGUUUCAUUUGAUAACCACUUACCAGCUAAUCCUUUGUUGUCUUUUUGGUCUUCACAUCCUGUAGUUUUCCCAAAAAUGACAAGAAAAACACAUAUCAUGAAUGCUCCAAGUAUAUUCACUGAUGGGUCAAAUAAUGGUACAGCAGCAGUAGUUACCCUUGAUCAAACUUUUACAUUUUUAGUACCCAAACAAUCAGCUCAAAAGGUAGAGCUUAAUGCAGCAUUACAAGCUUUUGUGAUGUUUAAAGAUUCUGUAUUUAAUUUAUUUUCCAAUAGUCAGUAUAUAGUUAAUGCUAUAGUAUCCCUUGAAGAUGCUGGUAGGAUUUCCCCUUCCUCUACUGUUUUCUCUUUGUUUUCCACUAUACAAAGUCCAAUCUGGGACAGAAAAGAUCCAUUCUUUAUAGGACAUAUCAGGGUACAUACAGAAUUGCCUGGAGCCCUUAGUUUGGGCAAUGAUUUAGCAGAUAAAACUACACAUGACAUACGUAUUUUUUCUAUGCUAGAAGAAGCUACAAAUUUUCAUAAAUCCUUCCAUGUCAAUGCAAAUUCUUUAAAAAAGCUUUUUAAAAUAACUAAGGAACAAGCUAGACAAAUAAUAAACAAUGUCAAAAUUGUGUGACCUUUUUACCACAAGUUAAUCUUGGAAUCAAUCCUAGAGGACUGAUACCUAACCAUAUUUGGCAGAUGGACGUCACAUACUUUCAGAAUUUGGAAAAUUAAAAUAUUUGCAUGUUACAGUUGAUACUUCUUCUGGAUUUUUGAUGGGCUCCCUUCAUGCCGGAGAAAAAACUAAAGAUAUUAUAGCUCGUUGCUUACAAAAUUUUGCCACUGUGGGCAUUCCAAAACAGUUAAAAACAGAUAAUGGCUCUGGCUAUACUUCCACCUCUUUUUAAGCAAUUUUGCUCAUCAUUUGGCAUUACUCAUAUAACAGGAAUCCCAUACAAUCCACAGGGACAAGGCAUAGUUGAAAGAGCUCAUCAAACUAUUAAAAUGUACUUGUUAAAGCAAAAAGAGGUAAUUGGGAAGGGGUAUAUAUCCCCCAAAGAUAAACUUAAAAUAACUCUUUUUACUCUAAACUUUUAAAAUUUGGAUUCAUCAGGGCUUAGUGCUGCAGAAAGGCACAUGUGUCCAAAAAAUGUACAUAAGCCCAAGGUACUUUGGAAGGAUAUUCUAACAGGACAAUGGAAAAGUCCUGACCCAGUGAUUGUCUGGAGUCGGGGUUCUGUUUGUGUGUUUCCACAGGGAGAACAGCAGCUGAUUUGGAUUCCAGAGAGACUAACUAAAGCAAUUUCUACAGAUCAAAAAGAAGAUGACUUGGCUCAAAUCAUAACAGCUGAUAUCCAGAACUUCAGUUUAGCUAUCCUUACAUCUGCGACAGUGGUUCUCCCACACCUGGAGGCUAAUGAAUAAUGAGCACCAUUAAGGCCUAUUUCAAAUGUAAAAAAACCUUGGGGCUUGCUUGUGGGAAUACCUUCAGACCCAUAUGCAAGUUACAGGAAGAAGGAUGGGAUAUCAAAAGAAGAGUCAAACCCAGGUGGUAACCAGGAUGCUUUUUCAAUAUCUAUUUUAUUAUUGCCCUCUCCCACAUCAUGAAGUUCUAUUUUAUUUUUUGAGCUCACACAGACCUAGGUUAAUGUUUUUCUAAUCAGUUCUAUUUUUUGACUGUGGAGUUUUUAAACAUUGCAAUGGAGAUUUCACCUGUGAAAAAAUACAAGGCCUUUACUAUUAUGUUUUGUGUUGCAUGUAUUGUGUUAUGUGUGCACACUUGUGUUUUGUGUUGUAUGUCUGUGUGUGCGUAUGUCCAUAUAUCAUAUAUGAGGAGCGCUCAUGAAAAAAUGGAUCCAAAUAUUUUUUUUAUUCACGUAAUUUAAAUGGUUUAUUUUAAAUUGGGUAAACAGCUGUUGAGGAUUGUUUUAAAAUAUGAACAAAAAAGGAGGUUAACAGAUCUGUUUGUUUACUUUCACCUUUCCUUUUCAUUAUACCUAAUUCUAUUCAGGAUACUAAAUUGUUUAGAAAAUUGCUUUUUUUAGUGCCUGCUGGAAUGUUACAUAAUUUUUUUUUAGCCAUCAUUGCCAGAAUUCCUAUCUUCAUCCCAGUGCCCGUGAAGACAAAGACUUUGUGAUAGCUAUCACAACAAACUGUAUAAACUGAUGCAUCAAUGAAUAAUGAACUCAACAAGUAAUGCUCAAUCAAGGAGUUGAUUUACUUUGGGAGGAAAUGGACAUAUUAAUGGAUUCCUCUGCUUUGAACUACUUGCAGAACUUGCCUGGACUAUGUAUCACUUGUAUGCAUUGUGAACUAUCUGUUGGUGUAGCGAAUUGUGGUAGUGCCGGGGUAUCUGCUGAUGAUAUCAUUGGUGGUACAGUUUUUCCAAAAGGAGCUGUCAGUGGCUUGAUAUCGUGGCAUUUUGUAUCCUCCUCCCUUCUGCUUGCGCCAGGUUGUUUAUGGUGUUUGUGUAAAAACCACUAUCCACAAGUAUGGCUAAAUGCUGGGCCAGUAGUCAAUGAUGGGUAAGGUCCAAUUGCAAUGGUACCAACCUAAGACAGGAGGCUGACGCCUUGAGGUCAGCUCAUCUGAUGACGGGUAAGGACCAUAUGUAGUAUUGGACAACCUAAGACAGGCACGGUCCCUAAGCCACAUACUUGUUUAAUUAAACAGAAGUGGGGAGAUGUUGAGAGCCACAGCCAAGUUGGGAUGGCGCCUGGCAUUUUGCCAGAAGGAGUGGUUGGGAGGUGAUGCCAGUGAGCCAUUGGGAUGAUGGUAAUUAAGUUAAGCUGUGUAUAAUUAUUAAGAUAAUGACUGAUUGCUGUAACUGGAUGAUGCUAAAUUGAAACAAGCUGUGUACUCAGUUGUGUAUAUAAACCUCUGCUGUCCGGCAAUAAGGUGGCUCCUGCUAUCUCGGGUGCCCGCUACUUUUGAGUUCUCGCAGAGUUCCUGUUGAGUUCCCGUUGGUUCUUGUGGAGUUUCCGUGGAGUUCUGGAGAGUUCCCUUUGGGUUCGGGCAAUAAAGUAGUUCCUGUUUGAACCUACAA